rnacentral:rRNA from 1 species
AUUGAACGCUGGCGGAAUGCUUUACACAUGCAAGUCGAACGGUAGAGGGGGCAACCCCUUGAGAGUGGCGAACGGGUGAGUAAUAUAUCGGAACGUGCCCAGUCGUGGGGGAUAACGUAGCGAAAGUUACGCUAAUACCGCAUACGAUCUAAGGAUGAAAGUGGGGGAUCGCAAGACCUCGCGCGACUGGAGCGGCCGAUAUCAGAUUAGGUAGUUGGUAGGGUAAAGGCCUACCAAGCCAACGAUCUGUAGCUGGUCUGAGAGGACGACCAGCCACACUGGAACUGAGACACGGUCCAGACUCCUACGGGAGGCAGCAGUGGGGAAUUUUGGACAAUGGGCGAAAGCCUGAUCCAGCCAUUCCGCGUGCAGGAUGAAGGCCCUCGGGUUGUAAACUGCUUUUGUACAGAACGAAAAGGUUUCUAUUAAUACUAGGAGCUCAUGACGGUACUGGAAGAAUAAGCACCGGCUAACUACGUG